rnacentral:rRNA from 1 species
CCCUUAGAUGUUCUGGGCUGCACGCGUGCUACACUGAUAUUGCCAAUAUGUCAUUCUUAUCCGAAAUGGAUUGGGUAAUCAAGUAAUGAAAUUUCAUGCUUGGAAUCGGUAAUUGCAAUUUUAUCGUGAACGAGGAAUUCCUAGUAAGCACUAGUCAUCAGCUAAUGUUGAUUAUGUCCCUGCCCUUUGUACACACCGCCCGUCGCUACUACUGAUUGGGUGUUCAAGUGAGAUGCUUAGACCCUUGUUGCAUGGUUCAUUAUUGUGCUCCGAAAGUAAAAAGUUUCAAGCUUGAGUGUCUAGAGGAAGUAAAAGUCGUAACA